GAUGAACGCUGGCGGCGUGCCUAAUACAUGCAAGUCGAGCGAACGGACGAGAAGCUUGCUUCUCUGAUGUUAGCGGCGGACGGGUGAGUAACACGUGGAUAACCUACCUAUAAGACUGGGAUAACUUCGGGAAACAGGAGCUAAUACCGGAUGAUAUUUUGAACUGCAUGGUUCACAAGUGAAAGACGGUCUUGCUGUCACUUAUAGAUGGAUCCGCGCUGCAUUAGCUAGUUGGUAAGGUAACGGAUUACCAAGGCAACGAUGCAUAGCCGACCCGAGAGGGUGAUCGGCCAGACGGGAACUGAGACACGGUCCAGACUCCUACGGUAGGCAGCAGUAGGGAAUCUUCCGCGAUGGGCGAAAGCCUGACGGAGCAACGCCGCGUGAGUGAUGAAGGUCUUCGGAUCGUAGAACUCUGUUAUUAGGGGAGAACAUAUGUGUAAGUAACUGUGCACAUCUUGACGGUACCUAAUCAGAAAGCCACGGCUAACUACGUG
rnacentral:rRNA from 1 species